rnacentral:rRNA from 1 species
UACGGAGGGUGCAAGCGUUAUCCGGAUUCACUGGGUUUAAAGGGUGCGUAGGUGGGUUUGUAAGUCAGUGGUGAAAUCUCCAAGCUUAACUUGGAAACUGCCGUUGAUACUAUAAAUCUUGAAUGUUGUGGAGGUGAGCGGAAUAUGUCAUGUAGCGGUGAAAUGCUUAGAUAUGACAUAGAACACCAAUUGCGAAGGCAGCUCACUACACAAAUAUUGACACUGAGGCACGAAAGCGUGGGGAUCAAACAGG